AAUGCAAUUUGUGAGUUAUUUUAACCUUUUUGCAUGAAGUUUUCUCCACUGUCUCUUAGGUUAAUAAUAAAAGACACUGAACACGUAACAUGGGCCGCCAAGGUAUCCUAUGCUAGAAGGGCCGAAAUGAGAACUAUAUGUAAAUUAAAAUUAUUAUUUUAAUUGAUUUUAGUUAGUUAUAUAGGACGUAUACUCACACCAAAAAAAAGUAGUACAUAUAUUUUAGUAGGUUUUUGUAUUAGUUUUUUUUUAAUUAACACUGAAAGUUCAUUUUUCACUGAAGGAUUCAGAGAUGAGAUACAAAUUUCAUACACAGAGCCAGCAAGAAUCUAAAUCCCUGGAGACAAGAGCCAGCAGAAUUACAUGAAUUCUCGGGAGCCAAAAGAAAACCUAAGCAACAAGGAUUAUAAGACAAGAGCAGUGGAAACCUAUAACCAUCAAACAAAAGCGAAAGCAAAUGGAUCAGACGCAGUAAGAGGAAAGAGAUAAGCGCACACCACAGACAGACUUAGCCACGGUAUCGAUGACGUUCUUCACCUUAGUUUCAUAGAAUUUUAGUAUACGUACUAAAAUAAUUUAAUAAUUGUUAAAUAAUUUAUUAAAAAGAGAAUUGUAUCACUCAUGAAAAGACGAGUGCAUAUAGAUAAUACAUAUCUGUGUCAUUUAAAUAAAUAGAUUACAGAUAACGAAAAUGAAGCUGUAGAAAUUUGUUUACUCGCACAUGAAAUAAUAAAAAAAUAAAAUUAAUAGUGUGGUAAAAAAUGAGAACUAAAACUAAAAUGAUUCAGUUUAUGUAAUGUAAAUUUUAUUUUAUUUUGCUUCAUACAACCUCAACGGACGUUACCAGUCAGGCACUUGGUUAUCCACAAGCCGGUUUGUUUUGAUUUAAACAAUCCAUAUUGUAGAUAAAUCAUUUUUAAAGAAUAGGAGUAAAGCUAUUUUAAUGUGUUAAAGAGUGUGUAAUUAGUUCCGUACAAAUCUUUAGUUUGCCUCAAAAAUGCUAGUUAGAAACACAAUAAAGCCAAUGAGUUUUUUUAUUCGUCAUGUCCUUCAACGCGGUUACUUAUUUUUCCGUCAUGCCUCGUUAACUAUGGCGGAGAAAUUAAAGAACCAGAAAAACUAGAAAUAAAUAAAAAUUAAAAGAAAAGAAAAUCGAAUAACUUUUUUAAAAAAUCAAAUAACUUGGCGCGAAUAGAGCUAGUUUGUGGCGGCAGAGUUUUGUCCGCGACAUCGCUAUACAUGUGUACGUCGGAGUUGAUCCACUUGCAGAUAAUGAUGACACGUCAUUAUCUGGGUUUAUUUAUAAUUGCAAAUGGUUUUCAACUUCUCAUGAAUGUUGAGAGACGUAGCCAUUCGUCACGUAUGACGCCGCAAAUUUAUUAUAGUAAGAAUAUAAGUAAAUGUAAAUAUUUUUAUCUUGGAAAAAGAAGCUUUUUUUUCAACGGAAAAAGAAGCUCACCGAACCAAAGUGUAUGAUUUGGUAAGGAUGUUUACAUGUGAAAAGACAAAAGAAAAGGAUGUUUAAUGAAAAAUUUACUACACAUCCCAAAUUCUCAAUUACACAAAAAGACAUUUUAGAUUUAAAGAACACUUUCUUUUAGUGAAUUUACCAACAUGACUUCUAACUAAGAAAUUGUGUGUUUCUUUAGAGUUUCUAACUAACCAGAACUGAUUUUCUUUUUUAAAACAAAUAAUAUUCCUUUUUAAAACAAAUAUAUAUUUCCUUUUUUAAACAAAUAAUCUUAAUUUCAUAUUGAAACCGGACCAAUUUAUAAAUUCCUAAAUCAAUUAAACUCUCACAAACGAGACCAAACUCUUAUCCUUGUCUCUCUUUCUCUAUUUCAUGUUGUUUUCUGCCGCUGCCGCCUGUGUUUUCUCUACCGUUUGGUUUUACAGACAGCCACCGACAUAGAAGGUUAGAUUAUGAUUUCAAAAGCAAUUGUAUGGAUGUGGUCGUUGUGGACAUGAAAGUUGAAGUCUAGUUGAAAUUGUGUGGCGGUCAUCCAAAGUCUUCGUUGUUGCUUCCGUUGCAGAGAAAAAGCUCUAGAAGCACCAAUGGUCAAGUUACUCUAUUUUACACAUAUGGUCCUUUCAUUUUUGGAUAUUUUCAGUUUGACUCCAACAUUCUUUAAUUUUCUCGUAGAUCCUCUUGAUUUUUGUGCCAAACUUUUUAGUUAUAUACUUUAGAGCAAAUUAGCUCAAUAUACUGAAAAGAGUGGGAUACCAUUGAAUUGGGAGAAAAUGGUAGUGAUGGGGGAAAAAAUUGAAGGGAAAUAGGGUAUGGAGUGCAAAUAGGAGGAAAGUUGUGUGUAGGGAGUACAAAUACUCUAUACUUUAACUCGUAACAACAAUUAUCUUAUCAACUCAUAUCCACAUUUCUAUAUCCACACUUUCUAUGCUCACAUAAAUUGUGUCCACAGAAGUUUCGUCCACUAAAUUGUGUCCACAAAAGUUUCGUCAGUUCACAAAUUCUUUUCCUCUUUAUUCAAUUCGAAACCAGCUAUCUAAAUACCUAAAUCGAGUAUAUGAGAAAUUAAUAAACCAUUCUCAUUUUCUUCUUAGACAGACAAAGAAGGAAAUGUCCCUCUUACAACAUUUGAUCAAAAUCAUGUUAUCUACGCUUCUCUUGUCCACCUAUUGCUUUGUCCACAUAGAUGGUGUCCACAAAUUGGCACAUAUAUGGUGUCCACAUGUAUGGUGUCCACAUAUUAUCAGUUGUUAGAUCUUAUGUAUGUAAAUAGAUUCAGCCCUUAAACAAUUCACUUUUUUCAUAUACUUACCUUUUCGUUUUAACAUUUAUCAUUUAUUACAACUAAACACAAACUCAUUUUCAACUUACUCACCUUACGGUUGCCUCCUUAAAAGAAAUAGAUUCUCCUUACACAAAAAACAUAGUCAUUUUUAUCUAGAAAAAGAUAGUUGUCAAGAGAAAGUGUGCCAAAGACACAAUAUGUCUCUCAGCAUAACACACGUCGCAUUGUAUCCUUCUAUGUAAUUUUCUCAUGUUUAAUUUUGGAAAGGGCAUUUUGGUUUUGUCAUUUAAUUUACACACAAAAUUCAUUUUUUAUUUUAUAGAAUUAAACCAAAAGAACAUUUAUAAUAAUUGUUUCUCUCACAAAUAUUAUUCUGAUGUUUUAGAAUUAGAAAAUCCAAAAUCUACUUUUUCAGCAUUUUCUUAAAAAAUAAACGAAAUAAUAAUUGUAGAUUACAUAUACAAAAUAAAGGUAUAAUCUCUCUAUGUAUUUAUAGUUGAUAUACAAUUUACUCUAUGUGUUAAAAAAAUACAAUUUACUCUAUCGUGAAAUUAACAAAAUGCUAGAAAGAAUUCUAAUUUGGCUUUAGACUCGUAUGCCAUAUUUUUUUUUGUUUGAGCAACUAAAUUUAAUUUAUUUGACAUAUGAUAAGUUGAUAACUAAGAAGAAUAUAUGAAAAUGCCAUUAGUCAUGACUUUCUUAUAUUUUUGCUUUUUAUGUAACUAUUUUACCCUUCAGGACCCAGAAGCCCAAUAUUAUCAGCAAAGCCCAUACUUUUACUAAAGUUUGUUUAUAGAAAUCACUGCUACAAUUGUUUGCAAGAUCUUUUCCUUCUGCCUUUCCAGAAUCCAUACCAGUUUACAAAUUUUCAACACAAUAAUUUACACAAAAUGUACAUCCAGACCCCUAAUCUUUUUGGAAAAAGAAAAACAUAUCACUGGUUUCCACUUUAUUCAUGUAAUAUACACUUACGCCUUAUAUACACAUCACAUAGACAGUUUUGUUGUGUGUGGCAUAUGUUACUUUUCUUGUUCAAACACCAACCCAAGUAACUACCAAGGAACAUCUGAAUCAAGAGCAACAACGUCAAUUAACUUACUCGAAGCCCAUUUCAUGGCAGCCUCUGUAAUCUUGUUCUCUUCAACUACAAUCUUCUUCAACCGUUGUGACUUCAUAACAAAAGCCUCCACUUCACCAGCCUGAAUCAAUCGACAGCUUGCAAUGUCUAAACUCCUCAACUUCACACAGCUUUUGUUCAGAGAAACAAACACUGAACCUGUCAAGUUCUUGCAUCCUCUCAAAUCCAACUCAACCAAACCACUGCAAGAAGCUAACAUCGAAACGACUUCCUUGUCGUAUAACCACUCGUUAAAAGACAACUCCAGUUUCCUUAAUCUCCCCAAAUGCUGUCCUAACGUCGCCAACAAACCCGGUUCUCUCUCAACCGCGUCGCAGCUACGCAAAGAAAGCUCUUCAAGACUCGAGCUAAAGCUUAAAGCUAAGACCUUUAGACCGUGACCCGUCACAAAGUAACAGCUCGUAAGCCUAAGAGUAGAUAAAGAUUUGAAAUUCGCGGCGAGGGAGACGAGAUGCUCGUCCAUCAAAUCCAUAGGUAGACGCAAAUCUAACGUCUUCAAAGUAUCACUGCAUCUAGAAUUGUUCAUGAAAUGAACCAAACCGUCUUUGUUACCACCGUCGUAGAUCAACAGAGAAUUAAGAGAUUCACAAAUCUCUGAAACUUUCAGCAGGACCACGUCAGCAAUACUCCUACACGUCC
rnacentral:lncRNA from 1 species